GACGAACGCUGGCGGCGUGCUUAACACAUGCAAGUCGAACGGAAAGGCCCUGCUUUUGUGGGGUGCUCGAGUGGCGAACGGGUGAGUAACACGUGAGUAACCUGCCCUUGACUUUGGGAUAACUUCAGGAAACUGGGGCUCAUACCGGCUAGGAGCUCCUGCUGCAUGGUGGGGGUUGGAAAGUUUCGGCGGUUGGGGAUGGACUCGCGGCUUAUCAGCUUGUUGGUGGGGUAGUGGCUUACCAAGGCUUUGACGGGUAGCCGGCCUGAGAGGGUGACCGGCCACAUUGGGACGGAGAUACGGCCCAGACUCGUACGGGAGGCAGCAGUGGGGAAUAUUGCACAAUGGGCGGAAGCCUGAUGCAGCAACGCCGCGUGCGGGAUGACGGCCUUCGGGUUGUAAACCGCUUUCGCCUGUGACGAAGCGUGAGUGACGGUAAUGUGUAAAGAAGCACCGGCUAACUACGUG
rnacentral:rRNA from 1 species